rnacentral:rRNA from 1 species
UGGGGAAUAUUGCGCAAUGGGCGAAAGCCUGACGCAGCGACGCCGCGUGGGUGAUGAAGGCCUUCGGGUCGUAAAACCCUGUCGGGUGGAACGAAUCUCCUCCCCUCYAAUACAGGGGAGGAUUGACGGUACCACCGAAGGAAGCCCCGGCUAACUACGUGCCAGCAGCCGCGGUAAUACGUAGGGGGCGAGCGUUGUUCGGAUUUACUGGGCGUAAAGAGCGCGUAGGUGGUUCGAUGAGUCGGAGGUGAAAUCCCUCGGCUUAACCGAGGACCCGCGUCCGAUACUGUCGAACUUGAGUGCAGGAGAGGAGAGCGGAAUUCCCAGUGUAGCGGUGAAAUGCGUAGAUAUUGGGAGGAACACCGGUGGCGAAGGCGGCUCUCUGGACUGUCACUGACACUGAGGCGCGAAAGCUAGGGUAGCAAACGGGAUUAGAUACCCCGGUAGUCCUAGCCGUAAACGAUGGGCACUAGGUGUGGGAGGUAUUGACCCCUUCCGUGCCGCAGCUAACGCAUUAAGUGCCCCGCCUGGGGAGUACNGCCGCAAGGUUG